CACACGUGCUACAAUGGCCGGUACAAUGAGCUGCGAUACCGUGAGGUGGAGCGAAUCUCAAAAAGCCGGUCUCAGUUCGGAUUGGGGUCUGCAACUCGACCCCAUGAAGUCGGAGUCGCUAGUAAUCGCAGAUCAGCAUUGCUGCGGUGAAUACGUUCCCGGGCCUUGUACACACCGCCCGUCACGUCACGAAAGUCGGUAACACCCGAAGCCGGUGGCCCAACCCUUGUGGAGGGAGCUGUCGAAGGUGGGACUGGCGAUUGGGACGAAGUCGUAACAAGGUAGCCGUACCGGAAGGUGCGGCUGGAUCACCUCCUUU
rnacentral:ncRNA from 1 species